UUUAGAGAAAGAAGAAGGAAGAAGGAAGAGAAGAAAAUAGGAUUUGGCUCCCAUUAGAGAAGAAAGGAGAAGCUUCACAAACCCUGCCAUUAGGGUUUACAGAUAGAAGAGGAAGAAGCUUUACAAACCUUGCCAUUAGGGUUUAUAGAGAGAGAAGGAAUAAAAAGGAAGAAGCUUCGCAAACCCUGCUUUUAAGGUUUACAGAGAGAAGAACGAAGAAGCUUCCCAAACCCUGCAAUUAGGGUUUAUAGAGAGAAGAAGGAAGCAGCUUCACAAACCCUAAUGGAAGACGCCUUAACUAAUUUUUAGAGAGUCAAAAGGAAA
rnacentral:lncRNA from 1 species